UACGUAGGCAGCAAGCGUUGUUCGGAAUUACUGGGCGUAAAGAGUGUGUAGGCGGUGCUCUAAGUUCGUUGUGAAAUCUCCCGGCUUAACCUGGGAACUGCGUCUGAUACUGGAUGGCUUGAAUUCGGGAGAGGGAUGCAGAAUUCCAGGUGUAGCGGUGAAAUGCGUAGAUAUCUGGAGGAACACCGGUGGCGAAGGCGGCAUCCUGGACCAACACUGACGCUGAGGAGCGAAAAGCCAGGGGAGCAAACGGGG
rnacentral:rRNA from 1 species